UACGGGGGGAGCAAGCGUUGUUCGGAUUUACUGGGCGUAAAGGGCGCGUAGGCGGCGCAACAAGUCACUUGUGAAAUCUCCGGGCUUAACCCGGAGCGGCCAAGUGAUACUGUCGUGCUAGAGUGCGGAAGGGGCUACUGGAAUUCUCGGUGUAGCGGUGAAAUGCGUAGAGAUCGUAAGGAAGACCAGUGGCGAAGGCGGGUCUCUGGACAGUUCCUGACACUGAGGCACGAAGGCCAGGGGAGCAAACGGG
rnacentral:rRNA from 1 species